GCUAAACUCAUAAGACGUAAGUUUGGGGCAGUUUGGGGCUGUCUUCUGGAGAAAGCUUAUCUGAGAUCUAGAAAGGGAGCCCGGGAAAGAGUGAGCCCCUUGGAUCCAGACAUCUCUGAAGCCCGCUGCACUUACUUGACCUGAUAAAUUAUCUUUUUAUUUAAAGUAGUAGGGUUGGAUUUCUGCCACUUGUAACCAAAAGCAUCUUAACGAAUGUCGUUAUUUCAACUGAGCAUAUAAUUUAGCUCUGGGUCUCUUGGAAGCCAAAGCGAAAAGGGAACCACAUUGCAUCACAAAGCUCCCCUUCUCUGAUAUCACAACCACAAAGCACCAAGAAAGAAAGCCUUUGCUCAAGUACUCUGGCCUUUUUCUCAUGAUCGUUUGCAUUGGUGGCCCAGAUCGACAUCUUCCACAGCUGUUUCAGAAAUGACGCAGAAACAUUCCUCAUGUGGCUGGCUGCCUUCUACCCUGAAUCUCGACCAAAGACCAGCCACAAAAACCAAGCGUCUCAGCGCUCAAGAAGACCUCCUAGGCCUUUGCCCAGAGAGGCGAAUGGGCCACGAGGCUUGGGGUCCGGCCAUUCAUUGGCCCCUCCUUUCAAAGCCUCCCCAGAAACUUCUCCAACGGCCGCCCUGAGGUUUGACUGUAAUCCGUCAUUUCUUCGGUUGGAAGGUUGCUGGAAAGGGACAGAAGAUUUCAAACUGGGCGAUGCGGCUGCAGAACCAGGACAUUUUGGAACUCCAUUCUUUUCUAUAUCAAUCGGACCAGCUCAGCUUCCCCUUCCCCAUAGAACAUUUAUAAAGUUUGAUCACAUAUGUGGACACAAGGAAAAAAAAUUUUUUUAAUUUAAAAUUGGAGAUUUUAACAGGCCACAGUUCGUUAUUCUAAUCCAAAAUUUUUACAUACAAAAAAUAAUAAUGUGACUGAAAAUAUUCUUAACUACUUGGAAAUUAAUAAACAUUCUUGCAGAUAACCCAGGGAUCAAAAGAAAUAUUACAGCUGAAAUUAAAAAUCAUCUAGAAAGAGAUGAAAAGGGGAACACUUUAUUUCCAAAACCUAUGGGAUCUGGAAAAAAGCUCAACUCGGGGGGAAAUGUACAGCCCGGAAAUGUCUUCAUUAUUAAAGAAGACUAAAAAUAAAGAAGCUGAAGACACAUCAUAAGCAAUGAGAAAAAUAAGCAAACAGAAAAAGCAAGUACGGAAUGGGAGUUAAUCAAUGGCUGAAAUUAAUAACACAGAAAAUAAGGGAAAAGAAAAGAAAAGACACAGAUUCCAUGAAACCAAGACUGGCUAAAGAGGCUAACAGUGUUGCAGGGCUGGACAAAGGCCCCAGGUUCCGCAAGCAUGACCGUCAGGCCAGGCCCCACCGAUCAGUGAUGUGGCCCCUGCCCCUCGGCCUACUGACCCUUGGGCUAGUGGCUGCCUUCUGCCUGGACAUCGCAGUGCAGAGUGUGGCAAUUUGACUGCCCAACCGAGGCUCCUCGGACUAGAGGCUUCAGCAUUUCCUCCCAGAAAUAAAGCCCUUCCGUCUGGGCUUAUUAGGCAAACGAGUUAGUUUUGUGUUUUCAGCAAUGAAAGCUGCUGUGGUUUUGUUUUCUCUCUGUUGCCAGGAGUCAAGAGGAAGUCUGUGGUUAGACAUCUUCGGGUGGAGACAUACACAAACAGAGUGGCUAGAAAUGAGCUCCCCGGAUUCAGCUCUCCCAGCCCCAACCAACGGGACUCGUGAAACGGAACAAAUGAGAAAGAGGGUGGGGUGGAGGGAGGGACGGAGGGAACACUGAACCUCUAUCCGUCGGCCUCCCAGACCUGCUGCAGCACUCACCCUUCCUCUUGUCCCCAGCCUGCCUCUGUUUCCCAUUCUGACAGUAGGAUGCUGUGAUCCAUUUUUUUCCUCAGAGGAUGAGGCUACCCAAUUUGCCUUCAAUCCAGAGACUGAACAUAAAAGAUCCCUGUGAAUUCAGUGCUCAUCUCAGUAGCAGAGCUGUGGUGGGCACUGCCAGCUGCCACCCGCCAUGGAUCCUGGUCUUUCCUUUUCCAGCCAAACCCUGGAUUUGAUCAGAGUGAUGGUGGUGUGCCUGGCCACAAAUCCUCUCAUCUCUAGCCUCCUAUGUACCUAGAAGCUGGCCCUUCGAUUACAGUUCUGGCCAAUGAGCUAUUGCAUUUCUAAGAAAAUGUUUGCAUUCCUACUAUAGGCCCCAACUCUUCCUCCUUCUCCCUUCUUUUUCCUGCCUGGAACUUGAACACGAGGCCUGGAGGUGCCGCAGCCACCUUGUGUUUAUGAGGUAGCUGCGUGAGGAUGAAGUUAGAGCAGAAAGACAGAAAGAGGCCAGGCCCUCCACGGUAUUAUUACAUCACCUUCUGCCCUGCCCUAUACGACUCACCAGAGACUUCUUAUUUCAUGAGAAAAAGAAAGCUUCAGCUGGUGAAACCACUGGAGCCAGCUGUUCUAUUACUCGCAGCUGAAACAUUGUUACUUGAAAUAAGAACCUCCACUUUUGUUGUAGGAUUUUCAAAAUAUUUUCACCCCAUCCUCUAUUGGAUUUCCUCACAGAAAUCCUUUAAGGUAGAUCAAUGUCUUUCCUCCCAUUUUCAGAUGAGGAAACUGAGGUUUCACAGACAUGAAGUGGGUCAAAGGGUCAAGGCCUGCACUCCAGGACUCUGUCCCCCAGUCCAUGGCUUUUCCCAAGAAAACCCCUCUUGCCUGGAAGCAGUUCAGCGCUUUCCUCUCCCUGUAACGCCUCUCCCCACACAAGCUUAUAGGCUGAAAGUGAAAGUUCCUCCGGGCCCAAGGAGCGUGUGAACUGAUUUCAGCCCCAGCUUCUAGCGCCUGGAGUAGAUGUGCUCUUUUGGUUUAAAAAUCCAUCACUUGGAGUCGGAGGAUCUGGGUUCAAGUCUUGGAUCUCACCCUCACUUGCUAUGUGAUCUUGGGGAGGAAAAAAAAUCUCUGAAAAUCUCCCUGCCCAUCUAUACAGUGAGAAUGGCAGCACUUCUUCUCCUGAGGCUACGCUAAUACAUUCAGAGAUAUACGACAACGUAUGAUACAGGAUAAUAAGCCUGGAGACAGUCAUCGCCGAGCACUCAGGAUGUCAGGGAAAACACGCUGUGCACGAUGAGGCGCCAGUGUCCCCCUUACGGGGCUGUUACCACGAUGGCUUUGGUCUGUUUCAAGGCUCUGACUCCUCCCUCAGACUUCCUCGAGGUUGACGUGUAAAUUACAGCUAUGCUUCACAGCUCUUCGUGACCACUUGCCCCCUUCUGUCAACCUCAUGAGAGCUGAGAACGCUGAUCUCAUGAGACUCUACCUUUAAGACAGGAUAUCAGUGCUCCGAUACUUAUUUGCUCAUUAAGCCAGGCUAUUGGAUUGCAUAAGCUCUUUACUUUCUUAGUGCCCAAAAUGUAUCCAUUCAUCCACUUGAGGAAAAACAAAAUUGGAUUAGACUCUGUGUUGGGGACUCUCAGAGUUGGAUGGGACUUCAAAGUCCUCUGGUCCAUCCUGCGCCUCCCCAUUCAAGGCUGUUAUCCCCUCUAUAUGCUCCCCUCCACGUCCCCAGUGGACCCUGGACCUCCGCUUGCUCACAUCAGAGACAAAGAGUUGACUGCCCCCCAAGCCAGUCCAUUUCCCCUCCAGACAUUCUCUGUUAGAAUUCUUCCUCCAACAGGCACUGCUCGGCAGACACGGGUGUGCUCUUGGCAAAGCUGUGAUCCUGUGCGCACUUGACUGUGUGGGAUGGUGACCGGCAGAGUCAGUGGGGGAUGAGCAGCCCAUGUGAAGUGUCACCAAACAGGAAGUACCAUUUGCACUGGGUGAUGACGGUGAGAAAAAGCAACACUCAGCCCCGGGUGGCUCCAGAGACAGCUUCUUCCUUCAGCACAGGACAGACCUCAAGAAUAGCAAUUACUCACUUCAGUCUGACGUACUGGGUAUUCACUGGGCUAGGCCGGGUGAUGCUGCAGUAACAACGCUGAGCUCUCGGGGGCUUAAUACGAUGGAAGUUUAUUUCUUUUUUUUUUUUUUUUUUUUGCGGUGCGCGGGCCUCUCACCGUUGAGGCCUCUCCCAUUGCGGAGCACAGGCUCCGGAUGUGCAGGCUCAGCGGCCAUGGCUCACGGGCCCAGCCGCUCCGCGGCAUGCGGGAUCUUCCCGGACCGGGGCACGAACCCGCGUCCCCUGCAUCGGCAGGUGGACCCUCAACCACUGCGCCACCGGGGAAGCCCUGGCAGUUUAUUUCUUGCUCCUAUAAGGUGCAACGUGAGUUGGGAGAACCGUCCCCAUUUUGCUUGCCAUCUGGAACAUGGGGCCUCCACAGUCAGCACAGCAAAGGGCGGGAGGAGGUGCACCAGCUCUGGGCGGCCACGGCCUCAGUCUCUUGGUCAGAAUGAGCCACAGGGAGCCCACCUGGCUGCAGAGGAGGCUGGGGAGGGCAGUAGAGCCAUGGAAUGUGGGUGAGUGCCGUCUCUGGCAGCACAUCGCAGGCUAUGGCAUCAAAGAAACGAGAGUCAACUCUGUAAGGAAGAGGAGCCCAACGAAGUAUAAUGGGAAGGAAACACAUAAGGUGACGGGGACGUUAUGGGCCAAGAAGGGCCUCUGCUGGCUGCUGUGCGUGCACGUAGCUAUCACACGGCAAUCUGUGGUGGGGUUCGUAUGCAUGGGUGGCCAGGCUCUUCCACCCAAGGUGACCACAUGCUAACGCAAUGAGGACAAGCUUCGUACGCAGAGUGUUCCCAGCCUCCCCACCAUCCCUCCCAUUGCCACCUCCCCCAUCAAAAAUCUACUUCUUGCCUGCUCUGCGUCUCCUCUACCAGCUCCCUAAGAAGAGUUCUAGCUUGGCCAUUCCAGUUCCUGGGAAAAUAGGAAGGGAAGGACGGCCCUGAAGAGACCGGAGGUUGGGGAGUAUCCCAACUUGUUGAAUCAGUUCCUCGGUCCUCUGUGGGGAAGAACUGGGGUCAGCAGUAGAGUGGAAAGAAAACCAAGGAAGAAUGAAGGGGGCGCGGGGAGAAGGAGGGACAAGAAAAAGAAGACAGACGUGUUAAGUCCAUCUAUAUGUGGAAGGACAAAGGAGAGGUGGUCUGUCAGGUGGAGUGAUGUCAGGAGGGUUUGGGAUGCUUUGGUAGAGAGAAAGUUUCUGGAGAAGAUUUGAAACACGAGAUAGUGAGAUAGAGAAGCAAAAGGGGGCCUCAACCUUUUUUCAUCUCUCAGAGAGAUGUGCGUGAAGACUGAAAUCUCUUCCUUUUAUUUGCUUGCUGGACUGUGCUUCUUUGAAUGUGACUUAAUGUAGAGACUGGGUCACAAGGAAUCCCCAAAUUCACUCAGGUUACAUUAAUUUAGUUAUCAAAACUGAAUAAGUAGCAUAUUCCCAAAGCAGGUAAGGCAAAUGCAUAAAAGUCAAGAAGAGGCUAUGCUUGCUCAGAAAUAUAUUAACAUGCUUUGGUAAUGACAAAGGCUGGGAGGGAUGGAGCCACAGCAACAGUGGGGAGAAGCCCCCUCACACCGCAGCCAUCACAUCUGAGAGCCCAGCAGAUUGUUGGCGCCCCUUUCCCACUGAGGGCUCCAGGACUCUAUUUCCUGGGUGCGCCCUGACUUAAGAGUAUCUCCUCCCUUCUCUGCUCGUUUUCCUCAACUUGUGGAGGUCACAGUGACAUUAGCUUUGCUGGCUACCACCCCCCACCGUUGACUCAUAAAGACUUCCUGCCGACUAAAAACCCGACAUCUUUCACUUUUGCUGUUGACCCAGGUAUCCCACAUCCUGUAUGUGUCUGAUGGGGAUUCUGAA